rnacentral:rRNA from 1 species
GCCUGAUGCAGCGACGCCGCGUGAGGGAUGACGGCCUUCGGGUUGUAAACCUCUUUCAAUAGGGACGAAGCGCAAGUGACGGUACCUAUAGAAGAAGCACCGGCCAACUACGUGCCAGCAGCCGCGGUAAUACGUAGGGUGCGAGCGUUGUCCGGAAUUACUGGGCGUAAAGAGCUCGUAGGUGGUUUGUCGCGUUGUUCGUGAAAACUCACAGCUCAACUGUGGGCGUGCGGGCGAUACGGGCAGACUGGAGUACUGCAGGGGAGACUGGAAUUCCUGGUGUAGCGGUGGAAUGCGCAGAUAUCAGGAGGAACACCGGUGGCGAAGGCGGGUCUCUGGGCAGUAACUGACGCUGAGGAGCGAAAGCGUGGGGAGCGAACAGGAUUAGAUACCCUGGUAGUCCACGCCGUAAACGGUGGGUACUAGGUGUGGGUUUCCUUCCUUGGGAUCCGUGCCGUAGCUAACGCAUUAAGUACCCCGCCUGGGGAGUACGGCCGCAAGGCUAAAACUCAAAGAAAUUGACGGGGGCCCGCACAAGCGGCGGAGCAUGUGGAUUAAUUCGAUGCAACGCGAAGAACCUUACCUGGGUUUGACAUGCACAGGACGUGCCUAGAGAUAGGUAUUCCCUUGUG